rnacentral:rRNA from 1 species
CCUACGGGAGGCAGCAGUAGGGAAUAUUGCUCAAUGGGGGAAACCCUGAAGCAGCAACGCCGCGUGGAGGAUGAAGGCUCUCGGAUUGUAAACUCCUUUUGUUAGAGAAGAUAAUGACGGUAUCUAACGAAUAAGCACCGGCUAACUACGUGCAAGCAGCCGCGGUAAUACGGAGGGUGCAAGCGUUACUCGGAAUCACUGGGCGUAAAGGGCGCGUAGGCGGGUUAGCAAGUCAGAUGUGAAAUCCUAUGGCUUAACCAUAGAACUGCAUUUGAAACUGUUAGUCUAGAGUAUGGGAGAGGUAGGUGGAAUUCUUGGUGUAGGGGUAAAAUGCGUAGAGAUCAAGAAGAAUACUCAUUGCGAAGGCGACCUGCUAGAACAUAACUGACGCUGAUGCGCGAAAGCGUGGGGAGCAAACAGGAUUAGAUACCCUUGUAGUC